rnacentral:rRNA from 1 species
AACGAACGCUGGCGGCAUGCCUAACACAUGCAAGUCGAACGAGACCUUCGGGUCUAGUGGCGCACGUGUGCGUAACGCGUGGGAACCUGCCCUUAGGUUCGGAAUAACUCCCCGAAAGGGGUGCUAAUACCGGAUAAUGUCUUCGGACCAAAGAUUUAUCGCCUUUGGAUGGGCCCGCGUUGGAUUAGCUAGUUGGUAGGGUAAAAGCCUACCAAGGCGACGAUCCAUAGCUGGUCUGAGAGGAUGAUCAGCCACACUGGGACUGAGACACGGACCAGACUCGGACGGGAGGCAGCAGUGGGGAAUAGUGGACAAUGGGCGAAAGACUGAUAAAGCAAUGCCGCGUGAGAGAUGAAGGGGUUAGGGUUGUAAAGCUCUUUUACACGGGAUGAGAAUGACAGUAACGGGAGAAUAAGCUCCGGCUAACUCCGUG